AUGGCCAACGGCGACCGCCUCGCCGGAGCACCGUCCCCGCCGCCCAUGCCGCCGCCGCUGCCCCCGUCACUAAGCAGGCUGUCGAAUCGGCCACCGUCGGAGAACCACCUGGCAAUCUCCGUGCCGCUGCUCUCGCUCGCCGGCUCCGCCGCCGAUGCAGACGCGCCGCUGGCGCGGUGGCUCCGGCGGCUCGAGGCGUUCCUCGCGGUGUCGGGCCUCUCUGCCUCGACCCCUCUCGGCGUGGCCUUCGCGGCGUCCGCGCUGGCGGUGGUGGGCGUAGCGCUGCCCGCGGUGGCCGUGAGCCUCUCCCCGUGCCGUAAGCACGAGCGGGUCUGCGACGACUUCGAGGUUGAGAUGUUCGAGGUGUGCGUCAUGAUGUCGCAGGCGGCGGCGGCGGCCGUCGCCGUCGCCUGCGUGUCGAGGAAGAUGGCCAUGUACGGCCUCCGCAAGUUCCUCUUCGUUGACCCGGAUCUUGGCAUGCGGAUCCGCUUCCAGAAGGAGUACGUCGUCAGGAUCCAGGACUUCUUCCGAACACUUAUGUGGUGGAUAUUGCCAUGCCUUGCUGUGAAGGUCACCCGAGAGAUGUUCCGCUUUUCCCACAUGUUCCAUCAGUCAAUUUGGAGGUCAUGCAUUGUGCUAUUUGCUUCCAUCAUGUCAUGGAUGUAUUUGACGACAAUUGUGUUGUCUUCCUGCAUGCUUUUCAACUUGGUUUGCAAUCUACAAGUUAUACACUUUGAUGAUUACGGCAAAGUUCUAGAGCAAGACGCGGAUCCUCUAGUCUAUCUGAAAGAGCACCUGCAACUCCGCCAUAAUCUCUCCAAAAUCAGUCACAGGUUCCGCAUGUUCCUUUUGCUGCUCUUCUUUUCUGUUACAGCAAGCCAGUUCGCCAUUCUUUACAAGACAACAGCAUACAACGGGCCAAUCAAUUUCACUAAUGGUGGUGAUAUAGCUGUAUCUUCAGUUGUUCAAGUUGUAGGCCUUGUCCUUUGUUUACACGGAGCUGCUAAAAUUUCUCACAGAGCUCAAAACAUUGCCGCAAUAGCUAGUCGAUGGCAUGCUUUAGCGACAUGCUCUAGUGAUUCUACAUAUGUAAGCACCCCGAAUGAUUCUGGGAACCUAGUGCCCUUUCCAGCACAUAUGUUUUUGAGAGAUUGCUCGGAAAGUGACUUGGAGUCUAUGGAAAGUGGCUCAAUGCAAGGCAAUUCUCAUAACACAGCUCAACUGGCAUCUUACAUGUCUUCAUACCACAAGAGAGAAUCGCUUGUGCUCUAUCUGCUAACCAACCCUGGGGGCAUCACGCUAUACGGUUGGAUUGUCGACCGGACAUUCCUCAACACGAUCCUGAUGCUCGAGCUAACCCUUGUGCUGUUCGUGCUCAGCAAGACCAUUGUGAUCCCAGCGAAAACGCUAGUCAACAGUUACAUGAGUUUCCCGUGA
rnacentral:rRNA from 1 species